rnacentral:rRNA from 1 species
AGCGAACGCUGGCGGCAGGCCUAACACAUGCAAGUCGAACGAACUCUUCGGAGUUAGUGACGGACGGGGUAGUAACCCGUGGGAACGUGCCUUUUUGUUCGGACUAACUCAGGGAAACUUGUGCUAAUACCGAAUGGGCCCUUCUGGGGAAAGAUUUAUCGCCAUAGAGCGUCCCGCGUCUGAUUAGCUAGUUGGUGAGGUAACUGCUCACCAAGGCGACGAUCAGUAGCUGGUCUGAGAGGAUGACCAGCCACACUGAGACUGAGACACGGCCCAGACUCCUACGGGAGGCAGGAGUGGGGAAUCUUGCGCAAUGGGCGAAAGCCUGACGCAGCCAUGCCGGGUGAAUGAUGAAGGUAUUAGAAUUGUAACAUUCUUUCACCGGGGACGAUAAUGACGGUACCCGGAGAAGAAGCCACGGCUAACUUCGUG